CCUACGGGAGGCAGCAGUGAGGAAUAUUGGUCAAUGGCCGGAAGGCUGAACCAGCCAAGCCGCGUGAAGGACGAAGGUGCCAAGCAUUGUAAACUUCUUUUGUCAAGGGACAAAAUCAGGCUCGAGAGCCUGACCGAGGGUACUUGAAGAAAAAGCAUCGGCUAACUCCGUGCCAGCAGCCGCGGUAAUACGGAGGAUGCGAGCGUUAUCCGGAUUUAUUGGGUUUAAAGGGCGCGUAGGCGGGCUGUUAAGUCAGCGGUAAAAGCCCGGGGCUCAACCCCGGCGAGUCGUUGAAACUGGAUGGCUUGAGAUGUCGAGAGGUAUGCGGAAUGCGCAGUGUAGCGGUGAAAUGCUUAGAUAUUGCGCAGAACUCCGAUUGCGAAGGCAGCAUACCGGCGGCGAUCUGACGCUGAGGCACGAAAGCGUGGGUAUCGAACAGGAUUAGAUACCCCGGUAGUC
rnacentral:rRNA from 1 species